UACGGAGGGUGCAAGCGUUAAUCGGAAUUACUGGGCGUAAAGCGUGCGCAGGCGGUUUGUUAAGUCCGUUGUGAAAGCCCCGAGCUCAACUUGGGAAUUGCAGUGGAUACUGGCAGGCUGGAGUACGGUAGAGGAAGGUGGAAUUCCCGGUGUAGCAGUGAAAUGCGUAGAUAUCAGGAGGAACACCAAUGGCGAAGGCAGCUCUCUGGGACGGUACUGACGCUGAGACGCGAAAGCGUGGGGAGCGAACAGG
rnacentral:rRNA from 1 species